AGAGUUUGAUCCUGGCUCAGGACGAACGCUGGCGGCGUGCCUAAUACAUGCAAGUAGAACGCUGAAGAGAGGAGCUUGCUCUUCUUGGAUGAGUUGCGAACGGGUGAGUAACGCGUAGGUAACCUGCCUUGUAGCGGGGGAUAACUAUUGGAAACGAUAGCUAAUACCGCAUAACAGUGGAUGACACAUGUCAUUUAUUUGAAAGGGGCAAUUGCUCCACUACAAGAUGGACCUGCGUUGUAUUAGCUAGUAGGUGAGGUAACGGCUCACCUAGGCGACGAUACAUAGCCGACCUGAGAGGGUGAUCGGCCACACUGGGACUGAGACACGGCCCAGACUCCUACGGGAGGCAGCAGUAGGGAAUCUUCGGCAAUGGGGGCAACCCUGACCGAGCAACGCCGCGUGAGUGAAGAAGGUUUUCGGAUCGUAAAGCUCUGUUGUAAGUCAAGAACGAGUGUGAGAGUGGAAAGUUCACACUGUGACGGUAGCUUACCAGAAAGGGACG
rnacentral:rRNA from 1 species